CCUACGGGGGGCUGCAGUGGGGAAUAUUGGACAAUGGGCGAAAGCCUGAUCCAGCCAUGCCGCGUGUGUGAAGAAGGCCUUCGGGUUGUAAAGCACUUUCAGUGGGGAAGAAAGCCUUGGGGCUAAUACCCUCGAGGAAGGACAUCACCCACAGAAGAAGCACCGGUUAACUCCGUGCCAGCAGCCGCGGGAAUACGGAGGGUGCGAGCGUUAAUCGGAAUUACUGGGCGUAAAGCGCGCGUAGGCGGUCUGAUAAGCCGGUUGUGAAAGCCCCGGGCUCAACCUGGGAACGGCAUCCGGAACUGUCAGGCUAGAGUGCAGGAGAGGAAGGUAGAAUUCCCGGUGUAGCGGUGAAAUGCGUAGAGAUCGGGAGGAAUACCAGUGGCGAAGGCGGCCUUCUGGACUGACACUGACGCUGAGGUGCGAAAGCGUGGGUAGCAAACAGGAUUAGAUACCCGAGUAGUC
rnacentral:rRNA from 1 species